GAGGGACUUCUUGGCUAUUCAGUUCCCAAGAGGUAAUAAAAGUUUAAUCCAGUCCGCCAUCUGCAGUCAGGACGGGGACGGUAAGUGAGAUGCCUUAAGCUGCUGCUGGAGACGCGCACAGGAGAGGCAGUGACAGAAAGAAAGGGACAAAUGCCAUCGCCAAAUGACGCCCAUCACUGAUGGCUGCAACGCCACGCUGCUGGGGCUGAACCCAGAGCAAGAAAGCAGCAAUCGCCCAGCAGCCACGUGGGACCACGGGCUCUCUUUUGGGCACAGCGCCCACACACGGGACCCGAUGCCUCGUGCACAACGUCACUGAUCCUUCAUGGAGGGAUUUUGGAUGCUUGAUUCAAAGUGGCACCGCCACGAUGGCAGCCCGGCAGCGAAAAGGACGAGAGGAAAAGGAGCAGCUUUUCUCCCAUCGCUGUGCUUGAGGCACCCGGCUGCAGACGGAGCGGGACCACGUGCUCCUAUUGCUGACACACUUGAAGUCGAAAUACACAGUGAGUACACGUGUGCAGACAGCAUUUACUACAUCUGUACGUGCCCCGUGUAAGCACACAGCACGUGUGAGUCUCUAUUGCUC
rnacentral:lncRNA from 1 species